rnacentral:rRNA from 1 species
AGCGUACACGGUGGAUGCCCUGGCAGUCAGAGGCGAUGAAGGACGUGCUAAUCUGCGAUAAGCGUCGGUAAGGUGAUAUGAACCGUUAUAACCGGCGAUUUCCGAAUGGGGAAACCCAGUGUGUUUCGACACACUAUCAUUAACUGAAUCCAUAGGUUAAUGAGGCGAACCGGGGGAACUGAAACAUCUAAGUACCCCGAGGAAAAGAAAUCAACCGAGAUUCCCCCAGUAGCGGCGAGCGAACGGGGAGCAGCCCAGAGCCUGAAUCAGUGUGUGUGUUAGUGGAAGCGUCUGGAAAGGCGCGCGAUACAGGGUGACAGCCCCGUACACAAAAAUGCACAUGCUGUGAGCUCGAUGAGUAGGGCGGGACACGUGGUAUCCUGUCUGAAUAUGGGGGGACCAUCCUCCAAGGCUAAAUACUCCUGACUGACCGAUAGUGAACCAGUACCGUGAGGGAAAGGCGAAAAGAACCCCGGCGAGGGGAGUGAAAAAGAACCUGAAACCGUGUACGUACAAGCAGUGGGAGCACGCUUAGGCGUGUGACUGCGUACCUUUUGUAUAAUGGGUCAGCGACUUAUAUUCUGUAGCAAGGUUAACCGAAUAGGGGAGCCGAAGGGAAACCGAGUCUUAACUGGGCGUUAAGUUGCAGGGUAUAGACCCGAAACCCGGUGAUCUAGCCAUGGGCAGGUUGAAGGUUGGGUAACACUAACUGGAGGACCGAACCGACUAAUGUUGAAAAAUUAGCGGAUGACUUGUGGCUGGGGGUGAAAGGCCAAUCAAACCGGGAGAUAGCUGGUUCUCCCCGAAAGCUAUUUAGGUAGCGCCUCGUGAAUUCAUCUCCGGGGGUAGAGCACUGUUUCGGCAAGGGGGUCAUCCCGACUUACCAACCCGAUGCAAACUGCGAAUACCGGAGAAUGUUAUCACGGGAGACACACGGCGGGUGCUAACGUCCGUCGUGAAGAGGGAAACAACCCAGACCGCCAGCUAAGGUCCCAAAGUCAUGGUUAAGUGGGAAACGAUGUGGGAAGGCCCAGACAGCCAGGAUGUUGGCUUAGAAGCAGCCAUCAUUUAAAGAAAGCGUAAUAGCUCACUGGUCGAGUCGGCCUGCGCGGAAGAUGUAACGGGGCUAAACCAUGCACCGAAGCUGCGGCAGCGACGCUUAUGCGUUGUUGGGUAGGGGAGCGUUCUGUAAGCCUGUGAAGGUGUGCUGUGAGGCAUGCUGGAGGUAUCAGAAGUGCGAAUGCUGACAUAAGUAACGAUAAAGCGGGUGAAAAGCCCGCUCGCCGGAAGACCAAGGGUUCCUGUCCAACGUUAAUCGGGGCAGGGUGAGUCGACCCCUAAGGCGAGGCCGAAAGGCGUAGUCGAUGGGAAACAGGUUAAUAUUCCUGUACUUGGUGUUACUGCGAAGGGGGGACGGAGAAGGCUAUGUUGGCCGGGCGACGGUUGUCCCGGUUUAAGCGUGUAGGCUGGUUUUCCAGGCAAAUCCGGAAAAUCAAGGCUGAGGCGUGAUGACGAGGCACUACGGUGCUGAAGCAACAAAUGCCCUGCUUCCAGGAAAAGCCUCUAAGCAUCAGGUAACAUCAAAUCGUACCCCAAACCGACACAGGUGGUCAGGUAGAGAAUACCAAGGCGCUUGAGAGAACUCGGGUGAAGGAACUAGGCAAAAUGGUGCCGUAACUUCGGGAGAAGGCACGCUGAUAUGUAGGUGAAGCGACUUGCUCGUGGAGCUGAAAUCAGUCGAAGAUACCAGCUGGCUGCAACUGUUUAUUAAAAACACAGCACUGUGCAAACACGAAAGUGGACGUAUACGGUGUGACGCCUGCCCGGUGCCGGAAGGUUAAUUGAUGGGGUUAGCGCAAGCGAAGCUCUUGAUCGAAGCCCCGGUAAACGGCGGCCGUAACUAUAACGGUCCUAAGGUAGCGAAAUUCCUUGUCGGGUAAGUUCCGACCUGCACGAAUGGCGUAAUGAUGGCCAGGCUGUCUCCACCCGAGACUCAGUGAAAUUGAACUCGCUGUGAAGAUGCAGUGUACCCGCGGCAAGACGGAAAGACCCCGUGAACCUUUACUAUAGCUUGACACUGAACAUUGAGCCUUGAUGUGUAGGAUAGGUGGGAGGCUUUGAAGUGUGGACGCCAGUCUGCAUGGAGCCGACCUUGAAAUACCACCCUUUAAUGUUUGAUGUUCUAACGUUGACCCGUAAUCCGGGUUGCGGACAGUGUCUGGUGGGUAGUUUGACUGGGGCGGUCUCCUCCUAAAGAGUAACGGAGGAGCACGAAGGUUGGCUAAUCCUGGUCGGACAUCAGGAGGUUAGUGCAAUGGCAUAAGCCAGCUUGACUGCGAGCGUGACGGCGCGAGCAGGUGCGAAAGCAGGUCAUAGUGAUCCGGUGGUUCUGAAUGGAAGGGCCAUCGCUCAACGGAUAAAAGGUACUCCGGGGAUAACAGGCUGAUACCGCCCAAGAGUUCAUAUCGACGGCGGUGUUUGGCACCUCGAUGUCGGCUCAUCACAUCCUGGGGCUGAAGUAGGUCCCAAGGGUAUGGCUGUUCGCCAUUUAAAGUGGUACGCGAGCUGGGUUUAGAACGUCGUGAGACAGUUCGGUCCCUAUCUGCCGUGGGCGCUGGAGAACUGAGGGGGGCUGCUCCUAGUACGAGAGGACCGGAGUGGACGCAUCACUGGUGUUCGGGUUGUCAUGCCAAUGGCACUGCCCGGUAGCUAAAUGCGGAAGAGAUAAGUGCUGAAAGCAUCUAAGCACGAAACUUGCCCCGAGAUGAGUUCUCCCUGACUCCUUGA